GAUAGUAUCAUCAGUUGCAGGUUGUACUGUAUCUUACUCUGGUUCCGUCGUCACAGCCGGUGGAAAGUCUUCUGCUGUGUUUUCUGGAUGAGUUGAGCCGAUGUUCACUUCAUCCGCAGACAUCUCACUAUAGGGAAAAUAAUCACUAAAACUGUUGGCCAAGCCCUCCAGCUCCAGUGAGGAGUAAAUCUGCUGGUGUCAGUAGCUGCUACUUCUCAAUCUCUCUCUGCGCUGAAAUGUCACCAGGCUCAAGAUUUUAUUCUCCACUGCCUUACCGGAUUGGUAGCACGAAUGCAGGAAUUCCGGACACCCAUCUUGAGACUCCUGUAAUGGGAAAUAAACAUUGUCAGUGCUGGUAUGGGGAUAA